CCUACGGGAGGCAGCAGUGGGGAAUUUUGGACAAUGGGGGCAACCCUGAUCCAGCCAUGCCGCGUGUGUGAAGAAGGCCUUCGGGUUGUAAAGCACUUUCGGACGGAACGAAAUCGCACGGGUGAAUAUCCCGUGUGGAUGACGGUACUGUAAGAAGAAGCACCGGCUAACUACGUGCCAGCAGCCGCGGUAAUACGUAGGGUGCGAGCGUUAAUCGGAAUUACUGGGCGUAAAGCGUGCGCAGGCGGCUUUGCAAGUCAGACGUGAAAUCCCCGGGCUUAACCUGGGAAUGGCGUUUGAAACUACGGAGCUGGAGUGUGGCAGAGGGGGGUAGAAUUCCACGUGUAGCAGUGAAAUGCGUAGAUAUGUGGAGGAAUACCGAUGGCGAAGGCAGCCCCCUGGGCCAACACUGACGCUCAUGCACGAAAGCGUGGGGAGCAAACAGGAUUAGAUACCCUGGUAGUCCACGCCCUAAACUAUGUCAACUAGUUGUUGGGGGAGUUAAAUCCCUUAGUAACGCAGCUAACGCGUGAAGUUGACCGCCUGGGGAUACGGUCGCAAGAUUAAAACCUUAAGGAAUUGACGG
rnacentral:rRNA from 1 species